rnacentral:rRNA from 1 species
UGUUUCGGCAAGGGGGUCAUCCCGACUUACCAACCCGAUGCAAACUGCGAAUACCGGAGAAUGUUAUCACGGGAGACACACGGCGGGUGCUAACGUCCGUCGUGAAGAGGGAAACAACCCAGACCGCCAGCUAAGGUCCCAAAGUCAUGGUUAAGUGGGAAACGAUGUGGGAAGGCCCAGACAGCCAGGAUGUUGGCUUAGAAGCAGCCAUCAUUUAAAGAAAGCGUAAUAGCUCACUGGUCGAGUCGGCCUGCGCGGAAGAUGUAACGGGGCUAAACCAUGCACCGAAGCUGCGGCAGCGACACUAUGUGUUGUUGGGUAGGGGAGCGUUCUGUAAGCCUGUGAAGGUGUACUGUGAGGUAUGCUGGAGGUAUCAGAAGUGCGAAUGCUGACAUAAGUAACGAUAAAGCGGGUGAAAAGCCCGCUCGCCGGAAGACCAAGGGUUCCUGUCCAACGUUAAUCGGGGCAGGGUGAGUCGACCCCUAAGGCGAGGCCGAAAGGCGUAGUCGAUGGGAAACAGGUUAAUAUUCCUGUACUUGGUGUUACUGCGAAGGGGGGACGGAGAAGGCUAUGUUGGCCGGGCGACGGUUGUCCCGGUUUAAGCGUGUAGGCUGGUUUUCCAGGCAAAUCCGGAAAAUCAAGGCUGAGGCGUGAUGACGAGGCACUACGGUGCUGAAGCAACAAAUGCCCUGCUUCCAGGAAAAGCCUCUAAGCAUCAGGUAACAUCAAAUCGUACCCCAAACCGACACAGGUGGUCAGGUAGAGAAUACCAAGGCGCUUGAGAGAACUCGGGUGAAGGAACUAGGCAAAAUGGUGCCGUAACUUCGGGAGAAGGCACGCUGAUAUGUAGGUGAAGUCCCUCGCGGAUGGAGCUGAAAUCAGUCGAAGAUACCAGCUGGCUGCAACUGUUUAUUAAAAACACAGCACUGUGCAAACACGAAAGUGGACGUAUACGGUGUGACGCCUGCCCGGUGCCGGAAGGUUAAUUGAUGGGGUCAGCGCAAGCGAAGCUCUUGAUCGAAGCCCCGGUAAACGGCGGCCGUAACUAUAACGGUCCUAAGGUAGCGAAAUUCCUUGUCGGGUAAGUUCCGACCUGCACGAAUGGCGUAAUGAUGGCCAGGCUGUCUCCACCCGAGACUCAGUGAAAUUGAACUCGCUGUGAAGAUGCAGUGUACCCGCGGCAAGACGGAAAGACCCCGUGAACCUUUACUAUAGCUUGACACUGAACAUUGAGCCUUGAUGUGUAGGAUAGGUGGGAGGCUUAGAAGUGUGGACGCCAGUCUGCAUGGAGCCGACCUUGAAAUACCACCCUUUAAUGUUUGAUGUUCUAACGUUGACCCGUGAACCGGGUUGCGGACAGUGUCUGGUGGGUAGUUUGACUGGGGCGGUCUCCUCCUAAAGAGUAACGGAGGAG